rnacentral:rRNA from 1 species
AGUGAACGCUGGCGGCAGGCCUAAUACAUGCAAGUCGAACGGCAGCACAGUAAGAUUUCGCCCCUACGGGUGGCGGCUGGCGGAUGGGUGACGCAUACAUCGGAAUCUUCUUUUUCGGGGGGGACUACGUAGGGCAACAUAUGCUAACACCGCAUACGAUCUACGGGAUAAAGCAGGGGAGCUUCGGACUUUUCGCGACUGAUUGAGCUGAUGUCGGACUAGCUAGUUGGCUGGGUAAAGGCCCACCAAGGCAACGAUCCGUAGCUGGUCUGAGAGGAUGAUCGGCCACACUGGAACUGAGACACGGUCCAGACUCCUACGGGAGGCAGCAGUGGGGAAUAUUGGGCAAUGGGCGAAAGCCUGAUCCAGCCAUACCGCGUGGGUGAUGAAGGCCUUCGGGUUGUAAAGCCCUUUUGUUGGGAAAGAAAAGCAGCAGAUUAAAACGCCGAUAUUCUGACGGUACCCAAAGAGUAAGCACCGGCUAACUUCGUG